UACGGAGGGUGCAAGCGUUAUCCGGAUUCACUGGGUUUAAAGGGUGCGUAGGAGGGCAGGUAAGUCAGUGGUGAAAUCCCCGAGCUUAACUUGGGAACUGCCGUUGAUACUAUCUGUCUUGAAUACCGUGGAGGUGGGCGGAAUAUGUCAUGUAGCGGUGAAAUGCUUAGAUAUGACAUAGAACACCAAUUGCGAAGGCAGCUCGCUACACGAAUAUUGACUCUGAGGCACGAAAGCGUGGGGAUCAAACAGG
rnacentral:rRNA from 1 species